rnacentral:rRNA from 1 species
UACGUAUGGUGCAAGCGUUAUCCGGAUUUACUGGGUGUAAAGGGAGCGUAGGCGGCGCGUUAAGUCUGAUGUGAAAACCCGAGGCUCAACCACGGGAGUGCAUUGGAAACUGGCGGGCUGGAGUGCCGGAGAGGUAAGCGGAAUUCCUAGUGUAGCGGUGAAAUGCGUAGAUAUUAGGAGGAACACCAGUGGCGAAAGCGGCUCUCUGGUCUGUAACUGACGCUGAGGCUCGAAAGCGUGGGGAGCGAACAGG